rnacentral:lncRNA from 1 species
AUGUGCAAGAACCAGGCUGGCUGUGUGCUCCAGGUGGAGGAACAAAGGAGCCCUUCAUCUGCUCCUGCAGAGCAGGCUGGUGGCCAGCCCGUGUGUGGUGCUUGGUUCCCUCUGCUGCAGCAGGGAGGUGGGAGCAAGCGGAGGAUGAAAAAUCAGAGUAAUGGCCGAGGAGACGGUAUCCACUUGACUUUUCUUGCCCACGGCGUGAGUGAUUAAUCUAGCGAAGGCACUGCAGCGGAGUGAGACCACAAGGUUACACAGCCCAAAGCCUA